rnacentral:rRNA from 1 species
UUCGACCUGUUUAACAAAAACAUGUCUUUUUGAAUUUAAUUUAAAGUCUAACCUGCCCACUGAAUUUUUAAAUGGCCGCAGUAUUUUAACUGUGCAAAGGUAGCAUAAUCAUUAGUCUUUUAAUUGAAGGCUGGAAUGAAUGGUUGGACGAAAUAUUAACUGUUUCAUUUAAAUUUUUUUUAGAAUUUUAUUUUUUAGUCAAAAAGCUAAAAUUUAUUUAAAAGACGAGAAGACCCUAUAAAUCUUUAUAUUUUAUUUAUUUUAAUUAUUAAGAUUGAUUUUGUUAUUAUAAAAUAAAAUAUUUUAUUGGGGUGAUAUUAAAAUUUAAAAAACUUUUAAUUUUAAAAUUUCAUUAAUUUAUGAAUAAUUGAUCCAUUAAUAAUGAUUAAAAAUUUAAGUUACUUUAGGGAUAACAGCGUAAUUUUUUUGGAGAGUUCUUAUCGAUAAAAAAGAUUGCGACCUCGAUGUUGGAUUAAGAUAUAAUUUUAGGUGUAGCCGCUUAAAUUUUAAGUCUGUUCGACUUUUAAAUUCUUACGUGAUCUGAGUUCAAACCAGAGACGGGAAA